rnacentral:rRNA from 1 species
GACGAACGCUGGCGGCGUGCUUAACACAUGCAAGUCGAGCGGACAGACCCUGCUCUUGUGGCUUGCACGAGAGCCGAACGCGGGAGUAAAACGCGAGUAACCUGCACUUGACUUUGGGAUAAAUUCAGGAGAAUGCGGCUAAUACAGGGUAGGAUCUCCUGCAGCAUGGGGGGGGAUGGAAAGUGUCGGCGGUUGGGGCUGGACUCGAGGCUUAUCAGCUGGUUGGUGGGGUAGGUGAUGACAAAGGCUUUGAAGGGUAGGCGGCCUGGGAGGUUGGCCGGCCUCCUUGGGCCUGCGAUACGGCCCAGACGCCUACGGGAGGCAGCAGGGGGGAAUAUUGCACAGUGGGCGCAAGCCUGAUGCAGCAACGCCGCGAGCGUGAUGCCCGCCUUCGGGUUGUAAACCGCUUUCGCCUGUGACGAAGCCUUAUUGACGGUAAUGGGUAAAGAAGCCCCGGCUAACUACGUG